UACGUAGGGGGCUAGCGUUGUCCGGAAUCAUUGGGCGUAAAGAGCGUGUAGGCGGUCCGGUAAGUCCGCUGUGAAAGUCGGGGGCUCAACCCUCGAAUGCCGGUGGAUACUGUCGGGCUAGAGUGCGGAAGAGGCGAGUGGAAUUCCUGGUGUAGCGGUGAAAUGCGCAGAUAUCAGGAAGAACACCAAUGGCGGAAGCAGCUUUCUGGGACGGUACUGACGCUGAGACGCGAAAGCGUGGGGAGCGAACAGG
rnacentral:rRNA from 1 species